GUGCCAGCCGCCGCGGUAAUACGAAGGGGGCUAGCGUUGUUCGGAAUUACUGGGCGUAAAGCGUGCGCAGGCGGUUUUCCAAGUCAGGGGUGAAAGCCCAGAGCUCAACUCUGGAAUUGCCUUUGAAACUGUGAAACUCGAGUGCGGGAGAGGUGAGUGGAAUUCCCAGUGUAGAGGUGAAAUUCGUAGAUAUUGGGAAGAACACCGGUGGCGAAGGCGGCUCACUGGCCCGUUUCUGACGCUCAUGCACGACAGCGUGGGGAUCAAACAGGAUUAGAUACCCCCGUAGUCC
rnacentral:rRNA from 1 species